UGGAGGGGAGGGCUGCAAGGAGGGGGGCAGGUCAGAUCCCAGGUCAGUGAGUGUUUCCCAGAAGUCAGCCUGUUCUCAGGAGGGGUCAGGAAGAAGGCUGUAUGUUGUUUCCAGCUGCCAGUGGGUUAGAGUUCAGGGUCCUGGAGGAAGGAGGGAAACUCAAGUAAAGUUUGAUUAACAAGUAUUUGUUCUGAUCACUGAAGAGAAAACUUCCUCUAAUUGGUUAUGAGGGAAGAAAGAGGGGAGGGAUUUUCAGGAUCAGUGUGUUUUUUCUGCCAUGGGCUAAAAAGGGAGCAUCUUCUGAGUUAUAAUGGGAAGGGGUGUCUGUGCAGGAACUGCUCUAGCAGAAUGCAGAGGAGGGGGAUUUCUUCAAUCAAAGAUCUUUUACAGGAGUCCCUUUGGUACUUUCUUUUUCUUACAUAUCUUUUCAUUUUGGCCAAUCCUGAGUUGAGUCUUUUAAACUGAACAUAAGGGAUGUGCUUUGUUAAAAUCAAAUAAUUGAAGUUGAGUAGGGGGUGACGGGAGUCCCCAGUUUGUAGUUCUUUGCUCUCAGCAGUGUGACUGGCCAUCCUGCCCUGUAGCUGGCAUCUACAGUGGGGCAGUGUUGUGGAACUGACCCUGAACUAGGGUUUGUGCUGACUGAUGGUGUCAGAAUUGAACUUUUGAGUGACCAGUGGUUUUGGAGAAUGGAUUGGUGUUCAUCAGACUCACAUUGUAGGUGUCAGAAGUGGUUUCAGGAAAAAGGCCUCAUAGUCCAGGACCUUCAUGUGCCUGCUGGUGGGUGCUUGGGUGACAGUGAGAACUGAAGUCCUGCAGGAGGGAACAUUCCACUCUAGGGAAAGGAGAGCACAGUGACCUUCCAGGACCAAAUGUCCCAGCUGCUCAGGUUUCCUUUAUUCCCUAGAAGCCACCUGGGUUGCAUCUACUGUCAGAAUGGUCUCCAAGUUUGAGGAAGAGUUUAGUUACCAAGUGGUGGUUCCUGGUGUACUGUGGGUGACAGGGUGCUUCCCUGAGCUGGUUUGUGUUGUUUUCUUUAUC
rnacentral:lncRNA from 1 species